UACGUAGGGGGGCGAGCGUUGUCCGGAUUCAUUGGGCGUAAAGCGCUUUAAGGCGGUUCGCUAAGUCGCGUGUGAAACCUCCAGGCUCAACCUGGAGACGCCACGCGAUACUGGCGUGACUAGAGUUCGGUAGGGGAUCACGGAAUUCCUGGUGUAGCGGUGAAAUGCGCAGAUAUCAGGGGGAACACCGGUGGCGAAGGCGGUGAUCUGGGCCGACGACUGACGCUGUAGAGCGAAAGCGUGGGGAGCGAACAGG
rnacentral:rRNA from 1 species